GGAAUUGUUCGCAAUGGGCGCAAGCCUGACGACGCAACGCCGCGUGGAGGAUGACGAUCUUCGGGUCGUAAACUCCUGUCGAGUGGGAAGAAUGCUUCGGGGGCUAAUAUCCUCCGGAAUUGACGGUACCACUAACGGAAGCCCCGGCUAACUCCGUGCCAGCAGCCGCGGUAAUACGGGGGGGGCACGCGUUGUUCGGAAUUACUGGGCGUAAAGGGCUCGUAGGCGGCCAACUAAGUCGGAUGUGAAAUCCCCAGGCUCAACCUGGGAACUGCAUCCGAUACUGGAUGGCUUGAAUUCGGGAGAGGGAUGCAGAAUUCCAGGUGUAGCGGUGAAAUGCGUAGAUAUCUGGAGGAAUACCGGUGGCGAAGGCGGCAUCCUGGACCGACAUUGACGCUGAGGAGCGAAAGCUAGGGGAGCAAAC
rnacentral:rRNA from 1 species